rnacentral:rRNA from 1 species
GUACACUCCUACGGGAGGCAGCAGUGGGGAAUUUUGGACAAUGGGCGAAAGCCUGAUCCAGCAAUGCCGCGUGAGUGAAGAAGGCCUUCGGGUUGUAAAGCUCUUUUGUCAGGGAAGAAACGGUGAAAGCUAAUAUCUUUUGCUAAUGACGGUACCUGAAGAAUAAGCACCGGCUAACUACGUGCCAGCAGCCGCGGUAAUACGUAGGGUGCAAGCGUUAAUCGGACUUACUGGGCGGAAAGCGUGCGCAGGCGGUUUUGUAAGUCUGAUGUGAAAUCCCCGGGCUCAACCUGGGAAUUGCAUUGGAGACUGCAAGGCUAGAAUCUGGCAGAGGGGGGUAGAAUUCCACGUGUAGCAGUGAAAUGCGUAGAUAUGUGGAGGAACACCGAUGGCGAAGGCAGCCCCCUGGGUCAAGAUUGACGCUCAUGCACGAAAGCGUGGGGAGCAAACAGGAUUAGAAACCCUGGUAGUCCCAUGA